rnacentral:rRNA from 1 species
UACGUAGGGUGCGAGCGUUGUCCGGAAUUAUUGGGCGUAAAGGGCUCGUAGGCGGUUUGUCGCGUCGGGAGUGAAAACUCAGGGCUUAACCCUGAGCCUGCUUCCGAUACGGGCAGACUAGAGGUAUGCAGGGGAGAAUGGAAUUCCUGGUGUAGCGGUGAAAUGCGCAGAUAUCAGGAGGAACACCGGUGGCUAAGGCGGUUCUCUGGGCAUUACCUGACGCUGAGGAGCGAAAGUGUGAGGAGCGAACAGG